AAAACUCACAUCUCUAUUUUGUUCCCAAAUGAAUUCCAUUAGACUCGAUACGUCAUUCUAAGUAUUCCUGAAUAUAGCUGUGGAUUUAGAUAACUCUCUUCUCCUCUUCUGACCUUUAUUACGACUACAAAAAUUCUGUGUGUGAGGGAUAAAUAAUGCAUGCUUUCAGCCAAGAAAGGAAUGAAGACCCAAGCAAACAUUGCAGAAUAAAGUGCCAAGAGCCGAUAGGGUGCGGCCCCACCACGGUCCUACUGGGAAUGCAUAUUCAGAAAGCAAGUUUUGAGAACCCAGCGUCAGGAAUCAGCUUUCUGUUCCGCCAGGUGAGCCAUUCAAGAGUCCAUAUACAGUAGCGGACGGUGGAGACAGUACUUGGACCCAGAGCUGACUCCCAGCGCCAUGCAGGUCCUUAGCCAGGUGGGUUGCUCCUGGGCAUCUGCUGCAGCCUCGAGCACUGAGUACUGGAAGGGAUUAUUUGGGUCGGCCGAGAGACAGAGGAGACCUGGGAUUUUCGUGAUACUGACUUAAUUGAAACAAAGCCUGGAAAAGUCUUUACAAAGUGAGAAACUCUGGUUUUCUCUGAGAGUUAGCAUCUGGUAUGAGGAUGAUGGUGCUGAAAACCCCUGCAAAACUCACCAG